GACGAACGCUGGCGGCGCGCUUAACACAUGCAAGUCGAACGGAAGGGCCUGCUUUCCCUUGUGGAUUGCGGGUACUCGAGUGGCGAACGGGUGAGUAACACGUGAGUGAUCUGCCCCCAACUUGGGUAUAAGCCUGGGAAACUGGGUCUAAUUCCCGAUAGGACUGCAGGGUGGUGCCUGUGGUGGAAAACGAUUUUCUAGUGGUUGGGGAUGAGCUCGCGGCCUAUCAGCUUGUUGGUGGGGUAAUGGCCUACCAAGGCGGCGACGGGUAGCCGGCCUGGGAGGGUGGACGGCCACAUUGGGACUGAGAUACGGCCCAGACUCCUACGGGAGGCAGCAGUGGGGAAUAUUGCACAAUGGGCGGAAGCCUGAUGCAGCGACGCCGCGUGGGGGAUGACGGCCUUCGGGUUGUAAACUCCUUUCGACCGCGAGGAAGCCACCUGGUUGGAAGGGUGGUGACGGUAGUGGUAGAAGAAGCACCGGCUAACUACGUG
rnacentral:rRNA from 1 species